UUCCACUAGCCGGUCUUAUGAUCUCUGAGCUCAACUGCAGUGCCUGUUGAGUGGAAAUGUGUUUUACUCACUACACUACACUAGCAUUUCACAGAAUUACUACAUGCCCAAUAGACUGCUUCAUUCUCAGCGGUAGCUGGUCGUUGGAACAGAGACUAUGGUCAGGAUUUAAUCCCAAACCGCUUGAUGUUUAGAGGUCCAAUUAGGCAGCAGCAUCGUCGAUCAGAUUGAAUCGCUGCCGAUACCUCUCUGGUCCUGGAUCUCUUUGGGUUUCAUACCAACCCGAACACAAACCUAGUAUUCUCUCUCUCUCUCUCGUUGAUUUCUAAAAGGCAACAGAUUCCCUGUGAAAUAUAUGAAUACAUUCAGCUGUCAGAAGGCACUGAGACCACGCCCACACUGACAUCUAAUUAGCAUAAUACACAAACCCUCGUGGGCUGUGUCUCAACCCACCACGCCCACAUCUAAUUAGCAUAAUACACAAACCCUCUUGGGCUGUGUCUCAAUCCCCCACGCCUGCCUGUCAGCCUUCCUCACCUGAGGUGGAAGGUGACCUUCCUCAUCUGAGGUGGAAGGUGACCUUCCUCAUCUGAGGGGGAAGGUGACCUUCCUCACCUGAGGUGGAAUCGGCCUUCCUCAUCUGAGGUGGAAGGUGACCUUCCUCAUCUGAGGGUGAAGGUGACCUUCCUCACCUGAGGUGGAAUCGACCUUCCUCAUCUGAAGUGGAAUCGGCCUUCCUCAUCUGAGGUGGAAUCGACCUUCCUCACCUGAGGUGGAAUCGACCUUCCUCAUCUGAGGUGGAAGGUGACCUUCCUCAUCUGAGGUGGAAGGUGACCUUCCUCAUCUGAGGUGGAAUCGACCUUCCUCAUCUGAGGGGGAAUCGACCUUCCUCAUCUGAGGGGGGAAGUUGACCUUCCUCAUCUGAGGUGGAAGGUGACCUUCCUCAUCUGAGGGGGGAAGUUGACCUUCCGCAUCUGAGGGGAAGGUGACCUUCAUCAUCUGAGGUGGAAGGUGACAGAGCUACAGCGGUGUUUGUCAAGAGAUCGUGGUGAAACAUCCUUGAAAAAUUUGGUUUUCUCACAAAUACUUCUGUAGCGUCCUAACGAGUCAGAUUGGACCAUCUUAAAACAAUUCCAUAUGUAACCAGGAUGUACGAUUUAGUUUAGUAGGAACUCAGUGCCCUGGGGCCCUUAGACCCCUUUUUCUUUUAACAGCUUUGUGAUGGGGAAUAUAAUUAUAUUGAAACUAACCUGCCAACUGGAACUAAGCCUUAGAGGCACAGACACAGGUUCUCUCUACCCCCUCACAGUUCCCCUGUAGCUAUAACUCAGGCUGACUUGACCUGCUAGUAACUAACACACAUCAGCCUCCACAUCCAAUCUGAAAACAACUGGAACUAAGCCUUAGAGGCACAGACACAGGUUCUCUCUACCCCCUCACAGUUCCCCUGUAGCUAUAACUCAGGCUGACUUGACCUGCUAGUAACUAACACACAUCAGCCUCCACAUCCAAUCUGAAAACAAC